GACGAACGCUGGCGGCGUGCUUAACACAUGCAAGUCGAACGGGACUUUUUUCUGUAGCAAUACAGAGAAAAGUCUAGUGGCGAACGGGUGCGUAACACGUGAGCAACCUGCCGUGAAGUGGGGGAUAGCUCGCCGAAAGGCGAAUUAAUACCGCAUGUGGCCAAGGAAGACAUCUUCCUGACGCCAAAGCCGGGGCAACCUGGCGCUUCUCGAGGGGCUCGCGGCCUAUCAGCUUGUUGGUGAGGUAACGGCUCACCAAGGCUAUGACGGGUAGAUGGGCUGAGAGGACGACCAGCCACACUGGAACUGGGACACGGUCCAGACACCUACGGGUGGCAGCAGUCGAGAAGUUUUCACAAUGGGGGAAACCCUGAUGGAGCGACGCCGCGUGGAGGAUGAAGGUUUUCGGAUUGUAAACUCCUGUCAUUAGAGAACAAGGCACACGGUUUAACUGGCCGUGUGUUGAUAGUAUCUGAAGAGGAAGAGACGGCUAACUCUGUGCCAGCAGCCGCCGUAA
rnacentral:rRNA from 1 species